UCCAAUCACAGAUAAGAACAAGUCACAAGGUUGCUAAAGAAAUUACAGUCAUUUCAUUAUCUGUAAUUUCACAUGCAUGAGUCUAUAAGAAUCAAACAUUUAUUUCAAGAUGCAGCUUACCUUGAUUUUCUUCUAUGUGCUGUUCUGGUUCACAGAAAUUUCUCUUGGUUCAUCCAUUGAUCAACCUCCUGACAUGAUAAAGCAUCUGGGAGACACUGUGAACAUCAGCUGCACUCACACUUACAGCAGCUAUUACUAUCUUUACUGGUACCAACAAACAACACAAGGAGAAUCCUUCAAACUUCUUGGGCACCUUUACACGACAACAUUCAAUUCUGAGAAGGACUAUAAGCGCUUUCAGAUUUUUGGGAACUCACAAACCCACGGAACACUUCAGAUCUCCACUGUUACUUCAGAAGAUAGUGCAAUGUAUUUCUGUGCUGUGAGCGACACAGUUUGACAAAACUCUGCUGUGUACAACAAAAACACCUGUCCUGCUCAUAAAGUUUCAUAGUAGUUCAUA